AAGUCGUAACAAGGUUUCCGUAGGUGAACCUGCGGAAGGAUCAUUAAUGAAAUGAAUGUAGAGUCGGUUGUAGCUGGGUCUUUUAAUCGAGGCCAUGUGCACACCUUCUCUUUCAUCCACUCACACCUGUGCACCUGUUUAGACGGUUGAAGGAAAAAGUCUUUCUCGCGAGAGAGAGGGCCGGCUCCUUUUCCCGUCCAAUACAUAAAAUCUUAUAUAUUUAAUCAGAAUGUAAUCGAUGUAAACGCAUCUAUAAACUAAGUUUCAACAACGGAUCUCUUGGCUCUC
rnacentral:misc_RNA from 1 species